rnacentral:rRNA from 1 species
UACGUAGGUGGCAAGCGUUGUUCGGAGUUACUGGGCGUAAAGGGUGUGUAGGCGGUUCUUUAAGUUUGGUGUGAAAUCUCCCGGCUCAACUGGGAGGGUGCGCCGAAUACUGAGGGACUAGAGUACGGGAGAGGAAAGUGGAAUUCCUGGUGUAGCGGUGAAAUGCGUAGAUAUCAGGAGGAACACCGGUGGUGUAGACGGCUUUCUGGACCGUAACUGACGCUGAGACACGAAAGCGUGGGUAGCAAACAGG